rnacentral:rRNA from 1 species
GACGAACGCUGGCGGCGUGCCUAAUACAUGCAAGUAGGACGCAGUUGCGAACGGGUGAGUAACGCGUAGGUAACUACCUAUUAGAGGGGGAUAACUAUUGGAAACGAUAGCUAAUACCGCAUACUAGUAGAUGGACCUGCGUUGUAUUAGCUAGUAGGUAGGGUAAUGGCCUACCUAGGCAACGAUAAAUAGCCGACCUGGUAGGGGGAUCGGACCAACCGGGACUGAGACACGGCCCAGACUCCUACGGGAGGCAGCAGUAGGGAAUCUUCGGCAAUGGGGGAACCCUGACCGAGCAACGCCCCCGGAAGGAAGAAGGGUUUCGGAUCGUAAAGCCUUGGUGUUAAGGAAGCGGUACUUAACCAGAAAGGGACGGCUAACUACGUGCCAGCAGCCGCGGUAAUAC